CCCUUAGAUGUUCGGGGCCGCACGCGCGCUACACUGAAGGACUCAGCGUGUCUCUCCCCCUAUCCCGAAAGGGAUGGGCAACCCGUUGAACCUCCUUCGUGCUAGGGAUUGGGGUUUGCAAUUAUCCCCCAUGAACGAGGAAUUCCCAGUAAGCGCGAGUCAUCAGCUCGCGUUGAUUACGUCCCUGCCCUUUGUACACACCGCCCGUCGCUACUACCGAUUGGAUGGUUUAGUGAGACCCUCGGAUCGGUCCCGACUCGGGGUGGGCUUCUGCCCCGGUCGUGGUUUCGCCGAGAAGACGGACAAACUUGACUAUCUAGAGGAAGUAAAAGUCGUAACA
rnacentral:rRNA from 1 species